rnacentral:rRNA from 1 species
CUGCCAGUAGUCAUAUGCUUGUCUCAAAGAUUAAGCCAUGCAUGUCUAAGUCCAAGCUGUGUUCACACGGCGAGACCGCGGACGGCUCAUUAAAUCAGUCGUGGUCCAAAUGGGCCAGUGCAAAUCCUACUUGGAUAACUGUGGUAAUUCCAGAGCUAAUACAUGCAACUGAUAUCCCGAAGGCGGUGUUGGGGCUUGCUUGCCUUGCGCUGCGCUGCUCUGACGGAUGCUUUUAUUAGACCAAGCCGCUGAGGACUUGAGGGUUCGCGCUCUCUUGUUUGACUCGUGUGAUGGUGACUCUGGAUAACCAAAUUCUGACAAGCGCACGUACUUCUCUUCUGAGCGAGACGGCGCUGCCACUUUCGAGUGUCUGCCUUAUCAGCUAUCAACCGUUCGUUAUGCGCGACCGAUGGCUUUGACGGGUAACGGGGAAUCAGGGUUCGAUUCCGGAGAGGCAGCCUGAGAGACGGCUACCACGUCCAAGGACGGCAGCAGGCACGCAAAUUACCCAAUCCCAGCAAAUGGGGGAGGUAGUGACGAAAUCUAACGAUGCGGGCGCCCUUUCUGGGGCCCCGCAAUCGGAAUGGGCACUUUCUAAACAACCUGUUGAGAACCUACUGAA